rnacentral:rRNA from 1 species
UACGUAGGUGGCAAGCGUUGUCCGGAUUUAUUGGGCGUAAAGCGCGCGCAGGCGGUUCGUUAAGUUCGAGGUGAAAUCUCCUGGCUCAACUGGGAGGGGUCUUCGGAUACUGGCGGACUUGAGGAGAGCAGAGGUGAGUGGAAUUCUCGGUGUAGUGGUGAAAUGCGUAGAUAUCGAGAGGAACACCAGCGGCGAAGGCGGCUCACUGGGCUCCACCUGACGCUGAGGCGCGAAAGCGUGGGGAGCAAACAGG